rnacentral:lncRNA from 1 species
GUUAUUUCAUGCUGCUAUUUUAAUGAGAACCAAUGACCUCAUUAGCAUCAUAAUUAAUCAUCCAUAUUCAUAUUUACAAUUUUGGGGCAACUCAUGGGAAUUAGUCAAUCAAUACUAAAAAGAAUGGUAGUACAGCUCUCGGGAGAAAUUUCGUAUAACUCCACUGCUGGUUCUUUGGUGUCAAAAUUUCAGCAUACAUGUGAAUAUUAAAUCAACCUUGGGUACCUAAAGAAAUUAGGAAAAACACUAAGGCUGCAGUGCGGCUCACAUGUCCUCGUCAGUUUCGGCGUGCCUAACGCAUCCUCGGCCAUUGUGGCGCGACCCCUACAUCCUUGGUGGCGGCCCUGGCGCCCACAUCCACCUGCAUCCACGCUUGGGCAUGAACAAUAUAACAGAUAAAUAAUGUGGACCAAUUGUUCAUGGAAUUUUGCAAUGUGAUAUAGGCUAUAGACUGCUAUGAUAGGCAAGAAUACUCAAAUUUAUAUUGUACCAUAAUGUCAAGCUCAAGAAUUUUGCACCAUAUCUUCUCCUUUGGCCCUACACCAACAUUUAGCAUGACGUCAACAACCUCAUGACUCCAUCGCUGGUGACUGAUCUUACCUGUCUAUUCCUACC